rnacentral:tRNA from 2 species
GCAUUGGUGGUUCAGUGGUAGAAUUCUCGCCUUCCAUGCAGGAGACCCAGGUUUGAUUCCUGGCCAAUGCA